UGUUGCUUUGCAUACACAAAGUGUGUGGUGAGUUCCCUGUAGAUAUAAGAUGCUAUAAAUGUUCUAUUUCCUAUGUGACGUCUCAGUGAUCUGCACCUGACACUGCUCCUACUGUCAGUAUGGGGAGAUACUUACUGCUUGUCCUCUCCGCUCUCUUUUCUCUCUCUGUUCCAGAUUCCUAUGGGCAGAUUGUACUGACUCAGUCUCCAGAUUAUGUCUCUGUGUCACCAGGAGAAACUGUCACCCUCACAUGUAAAGCCAGUAGCAGUGUUGGCAACUUGUUAGCCUGGUACCAACAGAAAUCAGGGCAGGCACCAAAGCCGCUGAUUUAUAAUGCAGGUACUCGAUACACAGGGACCCCAGAGCGGAUCAGCGGCAGUGGGUCUGGAACUGAUUACUCUCUUACAAUCAGCAGAAUGGAAGCAGAAGAUGCAGCAGAUUAUUACUGUCAGCAGGGUAGGAGCUUCCCUCUCACACAGUGAUACAGAGCUGAACAAAAACCUCCCUGUUACUGUGCCAGUGAGUUAUUUACAUGAUACUCUAUAAAGCUACAGAGCAUGACAUGAUAUUCUCAGUAGGGGAAGACUAUACAAUUGUAUACA